UAGCUCAGUGGUAGAGUGCCCACCUUGCACGUGUGAGGCCCUGGGUUCAAUUCUCAG
rnacentral:tRNA from 1 species